UACGGAGGGUGCAAGCGUUAUCCGGAUUCACUGGGUUUAAAGGGUGCGUAGGUGGGCAGGUAAGUCAGUGGUGAAAUCCCCGAGCUUAACUUGGGAACUGCCGUUGAUACUAUCUGUCUUGAAUAUCGUGGAGGUUAGCGGAAUAUGUCAUGUAGCGGUGAAAUGCUUAGAGAUGACAUAGAACACCAAUUGCGAAGGCAGCUGGCUACACGGUAAUUGACACUGAGGCACGAAAGCGUGGGGAGCAAAC
rnacentral:rRNA from 1 species